rnacentral:rRNA from 1 species
ACAUGCCUACAACAUAGUGUUAAUGCAUCGAAUCUCAUUAUAACUCCGUAGUUAAGCGUGCUUGAGCUAGAGUAGUACUGGGAUGGGUGACCGCUCGAGAAGUCCUAGUAUUUUACAUGCC